rnacentral:antisense_RNA from 1 species
CUUGAUGGCGCCCAGCCACAGCGGGCGGCCGUCCGGCCGCUCCUGGCCGUAGGUGGCCAGCACGGCCUGCGCCUC